rnacentral:rRNA from 1 species
UGGGGAAUAUUGGGCAAUGGGCGCAAGCCUGACCCAGCAACGCCGCGUGAGGGAAGAAGGUCUUCGGAUUGUAAACCUCUGUCCUUGGGGACGAAAAAAAUGACGGUACCCAAGGAGGAAGCUCCGGCUAACUACGUGCCAGCAGCCGCGGUAAUACGUAGGGAGCGAGCGUUGUCCGGAAUUACUGGGCGUAAAGGGUGCGUAGGUGGCUUGGCAAGUCAGAUGUGAAAUCCCCGGGCUUAACUCGGGAUCUGCAUUUGAAACUGCUGAGCUUGAGUGCAGGAGAGGAAAGCGGAAUUCCUAGUGUAGCGGUGAAAUGCGUAGAUAUUAGGAGGAACACCAGUGGCGAAGGCGGCUUUCUGGACUGUAACUGACACUGAGGCACGAAAGCGUGGGGAGCAAACA